UAUGGACUUGAUGAUGUGAUUACCGCCCCAGUCUGAAAAGUCAUGAUUGAUUGGUAAACCUCUCUGAUCCAUA